rnacentral:rRNA from 1 species
AUGCUUCAGCCCGUGGAUGGAUUGAUUAAAGCAAGUAACCAGAUGAGAAGGUGCGUUAGCUGGGGCUAUCCAUGUCGGGUCGCUCAUGAGGAGAAGAGGGAGGGAGGAGCAUCAAGGAAGCUUUGUCCUGCUCCCAUACCAAGGAAGCCACGCCCACACCAACACAUACAAAUAUUUUUCCUCCCAACCCAUCCAACCUGCUCGUCUCUCGCCCAGCGGGGACCGUGGUUGCCACUUGUUACGCCACCGUUUCCUAGAACCCUCAACGACCAGAUGGCUGGUUCAGGUUCAUCUCAACUUGCAAGUUCAUCACUUAAGAGGAAGUCGGAUGACAUGGCUUGGGAGUUUGCCGAGUUGAUUGAUCCUAGUGAUCCGCAAAGGCUAAAGUGCAAGCUUUGUGGAAAAAUUAUGUCGGGAGGGGUCACUAGGAUGAAGGAGCACAUUGGGCAGAUCAAAGGCGCUGUGACCAGCUGUAUGCAAGCUACACAAGAUUAG